rnacentral:rRNA from 1 species
GGAGCCGUAGCGAAAGCGAGUUUUAACUGAGCGUUCAGUUACUUGACGUAGACCCGAAACCGGGCGACCUACCCAUGAGCAGGAUGAAGCGAAAGUAAAAUUUCGUGGAGGUCCGAACCCACGAGCGUUGAAAAGCUCGGGGAUGACUUGUGGGUAGCGGUGAAAUUCCAAUCGAGCCCGGAGAUAGCUGGUUCUCCCCGAAAUAGCUUUAGGGCUAGCCUCAAGGUGAGAGAUACGGAGGUAGAGCACUGAAUGUCCUAGGGGGUAUUGCACCUACCGAAGACUAUCAAACUCCGAAUGCCGUCAUCUUAUACUUGGGAGUCAGACUGUGGGUGAUAAGAUUCAUAGUCGAAAGGGCAACAGCCCAGAUCGUCAGCUAAGGUCCCUAAAUGUAAGUUAAGUGGUAAAGGAUGUGGGAUUGCACAGACAACCAGGAUGUUGGCUUAGAAGCAGCCACUCAUUCAAAGAGUGCGUAAUAGCUCACUGGUCGAGUGAUCCUGCGCCGAAGAUUUCCGGGGCUAAAACUUACUACCGAAGCUACGGCAUCAGUAAUGAUGGGUAGGGGAGCUUCCCAUACGGGUUGAAGCAUGACCGUAAGGACAUGUGGACAGUAUGGGAGUGAGAAUGUUGGCAUGAGUAGCGAGAUGUGGGUGAGAAUCCCACAGGCCGUAAACCCAAGGUUUCCAGGGGAAGGUUCGUCCGCCCUGGGUUAGUCGGGACCUAAGCUGAGGCCGAAAGGCGUAGGUGAUGGACAACAGGUUGAUAUUCCUGUACUACCGAUAACCGUUUGAGAGAAGGGAUGACACAGUAGGAUAAGCUAAGCACACUGUUGGUUAUGUGUGCCCAAGCAUUGAGGCAGUCAAAGUAGGCAAAUCCGCUUUGAUAAUGCUGGGAUGUGAUGGGGAGCGAAAUUUAGUAGCGAAGUAGCUGAUUUCACACUGUCAAGAAAAGUCUCUAUCGAGGUUAAAGGUACCCGUACCGCAAACCGACACAGGUGGGUGAGGAGAGUAUCCUAAGGCCAGCGAGAGAACUGUUGUUAAGGAACUCGGCAAAAUGACCCCGUAACUUAGGGAUAAGGGGUGCCACCAUCAGGUGGCCGCAGAGAAUAGGCCCAAGCGACUGUUUACCAAAAACAUAGGUUUCUGCUAAGUCGCAAGACGAUGUAUAGGAGCUGACGCCUGCCCGGUGCUGGAAGGUUAAGGGGAUCUGUUAGAGCAAUCGAAGCAGUGAACUUAAGCCCCAGUAAACGGCGGCCGUAACUAUAACGGUCCUAAGGUAGCGAAAUUCCUUGUCGGGUAAGUUCCGACCCGCACGAAAGGCGUAACGAUUUGGGCACUGUCUCAACAACAGACUCGGUGAAAUUGUAAUUCCGGUGAAGAUGCCGGAUACCUGCGACAGGACGGAAAGACCCCAUGGAGCUUUACUGUAGCUUGACAUUGGGUCUUGGUACUACAUGUACAGGAUAGGUGGGAGGCUUUGAAACCAGGACGCCAGUUUUGGCGGAGCCAUCCUUGGGAUACCACCCUUGUAGUA